CUACGGGGGGCUGCAGUCGAGAAUCUUCCACAAUGGGCGAAAGCCUGAUGGAGCGACGCCGCGUGCAUGAUGAAGCUCUUCGGAGUGUAAAGUGCUUUUAUAGGGGAAAAACUUACGUGAUGGUACCCUAAGAAUAAGGGGUUGCUAAACUCGUGCCAGCAGCCGCGGUAAUACGAGUGCCCCGAGCGUUGUCCGGAAUUACUGGGCGUAAAGGGUGUGUAGGGGGCGUUGUUAGUCUUGUUUAAAAUCCUGGCGCUUAACGUCGGGUUCGGGCAGGAAACGGCAACGCUAGAGGAUGCGAGAGGCCGAUGGAACUCUGGGUGUAGGGGUGAAAUCCGUUGAUAUCCAGGGGAACACCAAAAGCGAAGGCAAUCGGCUGGCGCAUUCCUGACCCUGAGACACGAAAGCGUGGGUAGCGAAUGGGAUUAGAUACCCUUGUAGUC
rnacentral:rRNA from 1 species